rnacentral:rRNA from 1 species
AUUGAACGCUGGCGGCAGGCCUAACACAUGCAAGUCGAACGAGUGGCGGACGGGUGAGUAAUGUCUGGGCAACUGCCUGAUGGAGGGGGUUAACUACUGGAAACUGUAGCUAAUACCGCAUACCAUCAGAUGUGCCCAGAUGGGAAUAGCUAGUGGGUGGGGUAACGGCUGACCAAGGCGACGAUCCGUAGCUGGUCUGAGAGGAUGACCAGCCACACUGGAACUGAGACACGGUCCAGACUCCUACGGGAGGCAGCAGUGGGGAAUAUUGGACAAUGGGCGCAAGCCUGAUACAGCCAUGCCGCGUGUGUGAAGAAGGUCUUCGGGUUGUAAAGUACUUUCAGCGGGGAGGCGUUACCAGCAGAAGAAGCACCGGCUAACUCCGUGCCAGCAGCCGCGGUAAUAC